rnacentral:rRNA from 1 species
AACACGCUGGCGGCGUGCUAACACAUGCAAGUCGAACGAGAAAGUGGAGCAAUCCAUGAGUAAAGUGGCGACCGGGUGAGUAACACGUGACUAACCUACCCUAGAGUGGGGGAUAACCUCGGGAAACCGGGGCUAAUACCGCAUAACAUCACGAGGGGAAGAUCCUUGUGAUCAAAGGAGCAAUUCGCUCAAGGAGGGGGUCGCGGCUGAUUAGCUAGUUGGUGGGGUAACGGCCCACCAAGGCGAAGAUCAGUAGCCGGCCUGAGAGGGCGCACGGCCACACUGGAACUGAAACACGGUCCAGACUCCUACGGGAGGCAGCAGUGGGGAAUUUUGCGCAAUGGGGGAAACCCUGACGCAGCAACGCCGCGUGGAGGAUGAAGUCCCUUGGGAUGUAAACUCCUUUCGAUCGGGACGAUAAUGACGGUACCGGAAGAAGAAGCACCGGCUAACUCUGUGCCAGCAGCCGCGGUAAUACAGAGGGUGCAAGCGUCGUUCGGAAUUAUUGGGCGUAAAGGGCGCGUAGGCGGUGUGGUAA